AUAAGGUCCUAAUUGCCAAAUCCAUAGAUACCUUUCAGUCCUUAUCCAAUUUGACCUAUAAAGAGUAUUGGACACUAGAGGUAAUUCAGUGUGGUUGCCAUGCAGCAGGUCACAAUGGCACUGCAAGAGUGGGGGCUUAUUUGGGAGAAGAGCAGUGCUGGCAGACAAGGCUGGAAAGUAGACAAGGGCCAUCUCAUAGAAAUUAGGAGGCCACGGUCCUAGAAAUCACAUGCAUGCUGAUGGUAUUACUAUUAAAUAGUUGAACACUGGUAAAUUCAAUGGAUAGACGUUUUUAGGUUUCCUCAAAAAAGAUGCACAUCCAAAUCUAUGGGAAAAUAAGGAAUAGGGUGUCAAGAUCAGAGCCACUUUGGAUCAAAAGGGUGGGGUGAUCUUUCUGAGAAGCUGACGUUUGAGCAGAAACUUGAAGAAUAAUAAAAACCCAGCCAGGCAAAGAACUGACGAAAGAGGAUUCUGACAGAGAAAAUGACAAGGGAAGGAGAUGCCGUUUCGAGUGCCUGUCAUUUGGCUUUGUUCCCUCUGGGGACGGAGAAAAGCUGUGAAGGAUAGAGCAGCUACUGGGCUGGCUGGACAUUGUUUAAAAAUUGAGCCCACUGGAGAGAGAAAACAACAGAGGAGAUGGGGUAGACCAUCAAUGAGGAAGGAGCUGCUCUAUGUAUAUGGAGAGACAAUAUAAUACACCAAAGUCUGCGUUAAGGCCUGGAUGAUACAGGAAGAGAGAAAGCAAAGCAGAUUCAUGGGCAUUUGUAUACUUCAUAGAGUAGCUGAUUGGGGGCAGUUUUAUGAAGAAGCAGAAUCACCAGGAGAAUUUUCAACAAGAGUUAGGAUGUCAUUGGGCAGAAAGAAGUUGAAAAAAUGGUUCCAAGCAAGAAUGAAAAAGGAUGGUGUUAUGUAGGGAAAAUGGAAAGCAUUUGUGAGAAGAUGACAAGAUCUUGAGAGAUGAUGUUUUCUCUCUUUUUUCCAUAUUUAUUUAAUGUUGAAUUGAAAGAACAUGUUAAAAGUAAGUCUCUCUGAAACUACUCCAUUUACAAAUAAGUACAAACAAGCAUUCUUAAAGCUUUCAACACUUAAGAUUUCCUGAACCUAAAUCUCUUACAAUCAACACGUCUGAAAUUCAGAAAGCCCUGAAAGCUGAAUUUUUAUUGAUCAUUCAUUUGGCUACAAAACCUGACCUGGCCUGAACUAACACAAAGCUACUGCAGAAUCUUUCUUUAUGCCACUCUGUGAGACUAUUCAUGUGUUUGGCUGCAGAAAUAUUAAUGUGUUAGACUGGAGUCGCCCCGCAGAUCCUGCUGGAGGGAGUUGGAAGAUGGAGUUGGAGGAUGAAGUUGGCCGGUGUAUUAUAAUAAAUGUACAGAUAUAAACUUUUGAAAGUUUGAAGUUUUUUUAAGUUUGAAACACAUUUGGUUCUAUGGGCUUCAGAUAAAGAUUGUGGACCUGUUAGAAUCAGCUUUCAUCUUUUCUUUUCUAGUUAA